UGCUACAUAUGUAUUUCCCAAAAUACAAAAGUUAAUAAAAUCGUUGCAUCCUUAAAAUACUCGUCACUUCAAGACUUGCCUAUCUCAAGGAACCUUGUAAUUAUUUUUGUCAUCUCGUUACAUGCUCAAUUGCUGAAAGGAUUCUUUUCGUCGUGAUUUUGAUUUUAACGGUGAUCGCCCUUUCUCACGGCCAGAUCACUUGUGUCUGUUCGGCAACAAGGUGUACCGGAAAUGACCCACUAUACGAGUGUGGUAUUGGUCGAACCUGUAAACUUAUUGAGGCCUGCGGUUGGAGGUGUCAAGGGGGAUUUCUUCAAAGUUGCGUCGCAAUUUAGUUUGCCAUAAAUCAUUUCACUAUCUAUUGACCUUGGGGUAAAUUGAGAUGUGAGCUUGAUGAAAACUAAUGCGUCCAUCUAACAUUAAAACGAAAUAAUUUGAAUUAAGUCAAAAUUGAAAUGUCAAAAUGUUGAAUAAGCCAUACUGUAAAUUAUGAUAUGUUAACAAAUAAAUUUUUGGGAAGGAAAUAAAAUUGGACUAUGCCAUAUGUUUUGGUGAAUUC